GGGUUCAGCCGCUAGAUUCCAUGAGCGCAGCAUUUGCUCGCUUAUAGAAGUUCGGUCAGGGUUCGAUCUCCAUAGAAGCCCGGAUGGGGAUCAUUUAUCGAGGAAUCUUGGCCAAGGCCUGUCUGCAAUAGAAAUUCAAAAGGAAUUCAUCCAUAAUGGAAGCUUGGGUGAAGGCUUAUGGUGGGAAUCCGGCACGGGCCGCUCGUGGUAGAAAUUUGAAGUAGAUCCCGUGGGAGCCCGGACGAAGUCUACCUAC
rnacentral:lncRNA from 1 species